AGGUUUAUAACCUCCGCAAAUUGCAAUACAUUUUUCUUCGAGCAAAGACACGUGUUCCUCCCAAAUCAGAAAAAUUAGAAUGAAAUUUUCCGACAACCUAAGUUCAGUGUCGCAGCCUCAACCAAUCAAAAACCUAAGUUCAGUGUCGUAGCCUCAACCAAUCGAAAACCUAAGCCAACCAUCGCGUGCAGCGAUCUUCGUCGCGCCAUCCCAUCUCCGUCACGCCAUCACCGUAACGCCGUCGCGCCAUCUCCAUCACGCCGUCGCGCCAUCUCCGUCGGCGUUGUCUUCUUCGCUUCAUCUCAGUCGCGUUGUCUCUGUUUCCCCUUUCCGUCGUCGCGCCAUCUCUAGAGGCGAUUCGGACAUUGCUAUCGAAGGGUGCUGCCUCUAUUUCCUAUCCUGCUAGGGAAAUAAGAAAAGAAUGGUGAUUCGUCCUUGGAGAAGGUUGGUUAGUGUUUGCUGCGGUUUGGCAUUGUUAAGUUGUUGAAGGAGCGUUGUUGGUCUUUGAAGAAGGAGAUACAUCACUGCAGAGUUUAUAAACCUCAUCUUGUCAGAAUCAAUCCUGCAACAGAGAGCAUAUAUUGAAGGCUCCACAGGUGGUUUCUUUUGUUUUCUGUCCUUCUUCUCUUGCUCUCACCCUAGAUGGUGCUAUCAAAGAAGCAAUCAAUACAUUAAGGAGCAAUAAUGUUAAUGCAUUUGUUUUGGACCUAAGAGAUAAUAGUGGUGGUCUUUUCCCAGAAGGAAUUGAGAUUGCCAAAAUUUGGUUGGACAAAGGAGUAAUUGUGUAUAUUUGUGAUAGUCGUGGUGUUCGAGAUAUACUUGAUACAGAUGGAAGUAGUGCACUGGAAACAUCAGAACCCUUGGCUGUACUGAAGCAUGGAGCAUUCUUUUUUUCAGCUUUUCUUUCAUCAGGUUCAUGGCAGAUUUGUCCAAUUCCUUCUCAGUUCUUUUUUCCUCCUUUUCACAUUUUGCACUGAAAUUCUCCUAAGCAUAUUUGCUUCUUUGAAACAGCUCCCCAAGUGAAGUCCUGUGUUCUUUCUUUGCUACAGCAGUUGUUUCAGACAGUUCAAUAGCUGUUCCAAAGAGAUAUCCCUAGAGUGGACAAUUGUAGCACCAUUUCCAUUUGGUUCUGCACCUUUUAUUGGCUUUCCACUGAGUGUUAUUAUCUGGAAUUUAUCGAGUAUCUCAUUGAAAGGUGCCAUACCUUGCUGUAUUGGCCGUCUCUUACAGUUGCAAAUUUUGUUUGAGGGUACUCACCCUUAGAUUUCACUUGGUUUUCCUGUUGUGCUCCCCCAUGCUGAAAGUGAUCAAGCUGCAGGCA